CAGGCUACUGAUGACUAAAUAUCUGAUGAGGAAAUUCAGCAUUAUUGUGUCAGAUGAUGGCAUAAUGGUGUGCACUUUUCUUCUAGUAAGACGUUGCGAUCCAUUAGAAAAGUUAUUAAUCUGUAUAUAGGCCCGGAUAGGAGUUUAUACAUUAAGCGAGUAACAUGACUUUGUUGUUAUGUGAAUGCGUGUAAACUAUUUGGUGUUCUUACAAAUGUCUGAUGGUAUUUUGAUUGAAUGUCGCAUACAAUUUUUUAAUAAUUUGAUUCCUCCCGAGAAUGUGAGCCUUACUUUAUCACCACCUUUUUAAAUUUAGAAUCCCUUCCGGACCCGCCUUGAAAACCGAACAAAAAAUCCUAAUUGGAAGGCAAUUCAAUGGAAUUUUUAAAACCUAUAGGCAAAAUGAAAUUAAUUUGUUAAGGGAAUAACAAAGGGGGUAUUAUUUAUUUUAUUUUCCCUCCCCCGGGAAUCUAAUGGUAGUACCGGAAUUUCCGGCGGCGGGAACAACAAAAAUAACCCGGGAGAAUACAACCUGUGACCCAAAAAAUGGUAAACUAGGCCGGAUCAGGUUGAAUUCAGGGAAAACCCUGAUGGAAAACCGAACCAUUUCUAACGGGCAAAUCGAUGGCCGAAUUUGGUAAUAGGGCCAAAAAACAUCCCAACCCAUCUAUAACCUGUUCCCUUCCAAAA
rnacentral:rRNA from 1 species